rnacentral:tRNA from 1 species
GAGAAGAGUCAAAAGACAUGGAAACUGCUAACUAUCUAUUUCUACGGUUAAAAUCCGUAGUCUACUCA